rnacentral:rRNA from 1 species
AUUGAACGCUGGCGGAAUGCUUUACACAUGCAAGUCGAGCGGCAGCGCGGCCUUCGGGCUGGCGGCGAGCGGCGAACGGGUGAGUAAUGCAUCGGAACAUGCCCAGUCGUGGGGGAUAACACUUCGAAAGAAGUGCUAAUACCGCAUACGUCCUGAGGGGGAAAGCGGGGGAUCGCAAGACCUCGCGCGAUUGGAGUGGCCGAUGUCAGAUUAGCUAGUUGGUGGGGUAGAGGCCUACCAAGGCGACGAUCUGUAGCUGGUCUGAGAGGAUGAUCAGCCACACUGGGACUGAGACACGGCCCAGACUCCUACGGGAGGCAGCAGUGGGGAAUUUUGGACAAUGGGGGCAACCCUGAUCCAGCCAUUCCGCGUGAGUGAAGAAGGCCUUCGGGUUGUAAAGCUCUUUCGGCAGGAACGAAACGGUGGGCUCUAACAUAGUCCGCUAAUGACGGUACCUGAAGAAGAAGCACCGGCUAACUACGUG